rnacentral:rRNA from 1 species
CCUACGGGGGGCUGCAGUGGGGAAUCUUGCACAAUGGGGGAAACCCUGAUGCAGCGACGCCGCGUGAGCGAUGAAGCCCUUCGGGGUGUAAAGCUCUUUCGACCGGGACGAUAAUGACGGUACCGGGAGAAGAAGCUGCGGCUAACUACGUGCCAGCAGCCGCGGUAAUACGUAGGCAGCGAGCGUUGUUCGGAGUUACUGGGCGUAAAGCGUGCGUAGGCGGUGCUCUAAGUCUGUUGUGAAAUCUCCCGGCUCAACCGGGAGGGUGCGGCGGA